UACAGAGGUCUCAAGCGUUGUUCGGAUUCAUUGGGCGUAAAGGGGUGCGUAGGUGGCGCGGUAAGUCGGGUGUGAAAUUUCGGAGCUUAACUCCGAAACUGCAUUCGAUACUGCCCGUGCUUGAGGACUGGAGAGGAGACUGGAAUUUACGGUGUAGCAGUGAAAUGCGUAGAUAUCGUAAGGAAGACCAGUGGCGAAGGCGGGUCUCUGGACAGUUCCUGACACUGAGGCACGAAGGCCAGGGGGAGCAAACGGG
rnacentral:rRNA from 1 species